CUCCCAGCAUGUCGACCUGCUGCUGAACCCGGAGCGCUUCACGGGCUACAGAGGACCAGAGGCCUGGCAGAUCUGGAACAGCAUCUAUGAGGAAAACUGCUUCAAACCGUUUACUGUCAAGCGACCUCUCAUUCCCGACUCGUUCCACAGCAGCUCGGGAAGUGAAGCAAAGAUCUUCUACAGCUGGCUGGAAGGCCAGUGUGUGGAGAAGAGAGCUUUCUAUCGGCUCAUCUCCGGCCUCCAUGCCAGCAUCAACAUACACCUGAGCGCCAGGUACCUCC